UGUAGCAAGGUUAACCGAAUAGGGGAGCCGAAGGGAAACCGAGUCUUAACCGGGCGUUAAGUUGCAGGGUAUAGACCCGAAACCCGGUGAUCUAGCCAUGGGCAGGUUGAAGGUUGGGUAACACUAACUGGAGGACCGAACCGACUAAUGUUGAAAAAUUAGCGGAUGACUUGUGGCUGGGGGUGAAAGGCCAAUCAAACCGGGAGAUAGCUGGUUCUCCCCGAAAGCUAUUUAGGUAGCGCCUCGUGAAUUCAUCUCCGGGGGUAGAGCACUGUUUCGGCAAGGGGGUCAUCCCGACUUACCAACCCGAUGCAAACUGCGAAUACCGGAGAAUGUUAUCACGGGAGACACACGGCGGGUGCUAACGUCCGUCGUGAAGAGGGAAACAACCCAGACCGCCAGCUAAGGUCCCAAAGUCAUGGUUAAGUGGGAAACGAUGUGGGAAGGCCCAGACAGCCAGGAUGUUGGCUUAGAAGCAGCCAUCAUUUAAAGAAAGCGUAAUAGCUCACUGGUCGAGUCGGCCUGCGCGGAAGAUGUAACGGGGCUAAACCAUGCACCGAAGCUGCGGCAGCGACACUGUGUGUUGUUGGGUAGGGGAGCGUUCUGUAAGCCUGUGAAGGUGUGCUGUGAGGCAUGCUGGAGGUAUCAGAAGUGCGAAUGCUGACAUAAGUAACGAUAAAGCGGGUGAAAAGCCCGCUCGCCGGAAGACCAAGGGUUCCUGUCCAACGUUAAUCGGGGCAGGGUGAGUCGACCCCUAAGGCGAGGCCGAAAGGCGUAGUCGAUGGGAAACAGGUUAAUAUUCCUGUACUUGGUGUUACUGCGAAGGGGGGACGGAGAAGGCUAUGUUGGCCGGGCGACGGUUGUCCCGGUUUAAGCGUGUAGGCUGGUUUUCCAGGCAAAUCCGGAAAAUCAAGGCUGAGGCGUGAUGACGAGGCACUACGGUGCUGAAGCAACAAAUGCCCUGCUUCCAGGAAAAGCCUCUAAGCAUCAGGUAACAUCAAAUCGUACCCCAAACCGACACAGGUGGUCAGGUAGAGAAUACCAAGGCGCUUGAGAGAACUCGGGUGAAGGAACUAGGCAAAAUGGUGCCGUAACUUCGGGAGAAGGCACGCUGAUAUGUAGGUGAAGUCCCUCGCGGAUGGAGCUGAAAUCAGUCGAAGAUACCAGCUGGCUGCAACUGUUUAUUAAAAACACAGCACUGUGCAAACACGAAAGUGGACGUAUACGGUGUGACGCCUGCCCGGUGCCGGAAGGUUAAUUGAUGGGGUCAGCGCAAGCGAAGCUCUUGAUCGAAGCCCCGGUAAACGGCGGCCGUAACUAUAACGGUCCUAAGGUAGCGAAAUUCCUUGUCGGGUAAGUUCCGACCUGCACGAAUGGCGUAAUGAUGGCCAGGCUGUCUCCACCCGAGACUCAGUGAAAUUGAACUCGCUGUGAAGAUGCAGUGUACCCGCGGCAAGACGGAAAGACCCCGUGAACCUUUACUAUAGCUUGACACUGAACAUUGAGCCUUGAUGUGUAGGAUAGGUGGGAGGCUUUGAAGUGUGGACGCCAGUCUGCAUGGAGCCGACCUUGAAAUACCACCCUUUAAUGUUUGAUGUUCUAACGUGGACCCGUGAUCCGGGUUGCGGACAGUGUCUGGUGGGUAGUUUGACUGGGGCGGUCUCCUCCUAAAGAGUAACGGAGGAGCACGAAGGUUGGCUAAUCCUGGUCGGACAUCAGGAGGUUAGUGCAAUGGCAUAAGCCAGCUUGACUGCGAGCGUGACGGCGCGAGCAGGUGCGAAAGCAGGUCAUAGUGAUCCGGUGGUUCUGAAUGGAAGGGCCAUCGCUCAACGGAUAAAAGGUACUCCGGGGAUAACAGGCUGAUACCGCCCAAGAGUUCAUAUCGACGGCGGUGUUUGGCACCUCGAUGUCGGCUCAUCACAUCCUGGGGCUGAAGUAGGUCCCAAGGGUAUGGCUGUUCGCCAUUUAAAGUGGUACGCGAGCUGGGUUUAGAACGUCGUGAGACAGUUCGGUCCCUAUCUGCCGUGGGCGCUGGAGAACUGAGGGGGGCUGCUCCUAGUACGAGAGGACCGGAGUGGACGCAUCACUGGUGUUCGGGUUGUCAUGCCAAUGGCACUGCCCGGUAGCUAAAUGCGGAAGAGAUAAGUGCUGAAAGCAUCUAAGCACGAAACUUGCCCCGAGAUGAGUUCUCCCUGACCCUUUAAGGGUCCUGAAGGAACGUUGAAGACGACGACGUUGAUAGGCCGGGUGUGUAAGCGCAGCGAUGCGUUGAGCUAACCGGUACUAAUGAACCGUGAGGCUUAACCUUACAACGCCGAAGGUGUUU
rnacentral:rRNA from 1 species